UGGGGUUGUGGCUCAGUGGUAGAGUGCUUGCCUGGCAUGUGUGAGACCCUGGGUUUGAUCCUCAGCACCACAA
rnacentral:tRNA from 1 species